rnacentral:ncRNA from 1 species
AUAGCAGUAAUCCCACUCAGUAUGACAGGAACUGCGGGUUCAGAGCCCUGGUGGCGGCACUUGGCUGAGGAGACACUGGCACAAGGCUGCCCUCAGUGGGCAUAUGACUGAAUGCCUCUAAGUCAGAAUCCUGCUGAGACAU